rnacentral:rRNA from 1 species
UACGAAGGGGGCUAGCGUUGCUCGGAAUCACUGGGCGUAAAGCGCACGUAGGCGGACUCUUAAGUCGGUGGUGAAAUCCUGGAGCUCAACUCCAGAACUGCCUUCGAUACUGAGAGUCUCGAGUCCGGGAGAGGUGAGUGGAACUGCGAGUGUAGAGGUGAAAUUCGUAGAUAUUCGCAAGAACACCAGUGGCGAAGGCGGCUCACUGGCCCGGUACUGACGCUGAGGUGCGAAAGCGUGGGGAGCAAACAG